rnacentral:miRNA from 1 species
GUUGGCGAUGAUUUGAACCA